rnacentral:rRNA from 1 species
CAAUAGCGUAUAUUAAAGUUGUUGCAGUUAAAAAGCUCGUAGUUGGCUUUGUGGCGUACGGUGUGUUCCGGGCACUUGUUGUCUGAGUAACCUGCUGUUGCCAUCCUUGGGUGGAACCUGUGUGGCAUUAGGUUGUCGUGCAGGGGAUGCCCAUCAUUUACUGUGAAAAAAUUAGAGUGUUCAAAGCAGGCUUAUGCCGUUGAAUAUAUUAGCAUGGAAUAAUGAGAUAGGACUUUUUUGCUAUUUUGUUGGUUUGCGCAAAGAGGUAAUGAUUAAUAGGGACAGUUGGGGGUAUUCGUAUUCCAUUGUCAGAGGUGAAAUUCUUGGAUUUUUGGAAGACGAACUACUGCGAAAGCAUUUACCAAGGAUGUUUUCAUUAA